rnacentral:rRNA from 1 species
CCUACUGGAGGCAGCAGUGAGGAAUUUUGGUCAAUGGGCGCGAGCCUGAACCAGCCAAGUAGCGUGAAGGAUGACUGCCCUACGGGUUGUACACUUCUUUUAUCAGGGAAUAAAGUGAGGCACGUGUGCCUGUUUGUAUGUACUUUAUGAAUAAGGAUCGGCUAACUCCGUGCCAGCAGCCGCGGUAAUACGGAGGAUCCGAGCGUUCUCCGGAUUUAUUGGGUUGAAAGGGUGCGUAGAUGGGUUGUUAAGUCAGUUGUGAAAGUUUGCGGCUUAACCGUAAAAUUGCAAUUGAUACUGGCAGCCUUGAGUACAGUUGAGGUAGGCGGAAUGCGUGGUGUAGCGGUGAAAUGCUUAGAUAUCACGAAGAACUCCGAUUGCGAAGGCAGCUUACUAAA